rnacentral:rRNA from 1 species
GACGAACGCUGGCGGCGUGCCUAAUACAUGCAAGUCGAGCGGACCAAAGGGAGCUUGCUCCUGGAGGUUAGCGGCGAACGGGUGAGUAACACGUGGGCAACCUGCCUGUAAGACUGGGAUAACAUCGAGAAAUCGGUGCUAAUACCGGAUAAUAAAAAGAACUGCAUGGUUCUUUUUGAAAGAUGGUUUCGGCUAUCACUUACAGAUGGGCCCGCGGCGCAUUAGCUAGUUGGUGGGGUAACGGCUCACCAAGGCGACGAUGCGUAGCCGACCUGAGAGGGUGAUCGGCCACACUGGGACUGAGACACGGCCCAGACUCCUACGGGAGGCAGCAGUAGGGAAUCUUCCGCAAUGGACGAAAGUCUGACGGAGCAACGCCGCGUGAGUGAUGAAGGUUUUCGGAUCGUAAAACUCUGUUGUUAGGGAAGAACAAGUGCCGUUCGAAAGGGCGGCACCUUGACGGUACCUAACGAGAAAGCCACGGCUAACUACGUAGCCAGCAGCCGCGGUAAAGU